rnacentral:tRNA from 1 species
ACCUGGCAGGCUCAGUCAGAAGAGCAUGUGACUCUUGAUCUCACGGCUGCGGGUUCAAGCCCCAUGCUGGAUG